rnacentral:rRNA from 1 species
AUUGAACGCUGGCGGCAUGCUUUACACAUGCAAGUCGAACGGUAACAGGCCUUCGGGUGCUGACGAGUGGCGAACGGGUGCGUAAUGCAUCGGAACGUACCCAGAGGUGGGGGAUAACGCAGCGAAAGCUGUGCUAAUACUGCAUGUGAUCUGAGGAUGAAAGCGGGGGACCGAGCAGCAAUGUUUGGCCUCGCGCCUUUGGAGCGGCCGAUGUCGGAUUAGCUAGUUGGUUGGGUAAAGGCCUACCAAGGCGACGAUCCGUAGCUGGUCUGAGAGGACGACCAGCCACACUGGGACUGAGACACGGCCCAGACUCCUACGGGAGGCAGCAGUGGGGAAUUUUGGACAAUGGGCGCAAGCCUGAUCCAGCAAUGCCGCGUGAGGGAAGAAGGCCUUCGGGUUGUAAACCGCUUUUGGCAGGAACGAAACGGUGUCCGCUAAUACCGGGCGCUAAUGACGGUACCUGCAGAAUAAGCACCGGCUAACUACGUG